rnacentral:lncRNA from 1 species
GUGGCCAUUUAUAUGGAAAUCACAAGAAAUUGUAGGUUGAAUAUUCAUGGGCUAGUAAUUAGUUUAAUCAAGUUUAAUUGAUACAGGUUUUGUGAAAACGUAACUGUAGCGGAUGAAUUGUGUAAAUCAAUUUGGAAUAACACUUCUUACAGUUUUGUUUCCUAUUUUAUUGUUAAUGGCGUUUCUGCAAAAUGCCGGAAAAAAGGAUAGAUGAUGUAUAGUUAAUUUCUCUUGUUUUUUUUUUUUUGUUUUUUUUUAACUAUAUGGCAAUCUUUUAACCGUUUAACAGCACUUAAACGUUU